rnacentral:rRNA from 1 species
UACGUAGGGUGCGAGCGUUAAUCGGAAUUACUGGGCGUAAAGCGUGCGCAGGCGGUUUUGUACGCCAGAUGUGAAAUCCCCGGGCUUAACCUGGGAAUGGCAUUUGGGACUGCAAGGCUUGAGUGCGGCAGAGGAGACUAGAAUUCCUGGUGUAGCAGUGAAAUGCGUAGAUAUCAGGAGGAAUACCGAUGGCGAAGGCAGGUCUCUGGGCUGACACUGACGCUCAUGCACGAAAGCGUGGGGAGCAAACAGG